rnacentral:rRNA from 1 species
UACGGAGGGUGCAAGCGUUAUCCGGAAUCAUUGGGUUUAAAGGGUCCGCAGGCGGUCAAUUAAGUCAGUGGUGAAAUCUCACAGCUCAACUGUGAAACUGCCAUUGAUACUGGUUGUCUUGAAUUUAGUUGAGGUGGGCGGAAUACGUUAUGUAGCGGUGAAAUGCAUAGAUAUAACGUAGAACACCGAUUGCGAAGGCAGCUCACUAGGCCUGGAUUGACGCUCAGGGACGAAAGCGUGGGGAGCGAACAGG